GUCGAACGCUUCUUUUUCCACCGGAGCUUGCUCCACCGGAAAAAGAGGAGUGGCGAACGGGUGAGUAACACGUGGGUAACCUGCCCAUCAGAAGGGGAUAACACUUGGAAACAGGUGCUAAUACCGUAUAACAAUCAAAACCGCAUGGUUUUGAUUUGAAAGGCGCUUUCGGGUGUCGCUGAUGGAUGGACCCGCGGUGCAUUAGCUAGUUGGUGAGGUAACGGCUCACCAAGGCCACGAUGCAUAGCCGACCUGAGAGGGUGAUCGGCCACAUUGGGACUGAGACACGGCCCAAACUCCUACGGGAGGCAGCAGUAGGGAAUCUUCGGCAAUGGACGAAAGUCUGACCGAGCAACGCCGCGUGAGUGAAGAAGGUUUUCGGAUCGUAAAACUCUGUUGUUAGAGAAGAACAAGGAUGAGAGUAACUGUUCAUCCCUUGACGGUAUCUAACCAGAAAGCCACGGCUAACUACGUGCCAGCAGCCGCGGUAAUACGUAGGUGGCAAGCGUUGUCCGGAUUUAUUGGGCGUAAAGCGAGCGCAGGCGGUUUCUUAAGUCUGAUGUGAAAGCCCCCGGCUCAACCGGGGAGGGUCAUUGGAAACUGGGAGACUUGAGUGCAGAAGAGGAGAGUGGAAUUCCAUGUGUAGCGGUGAAAUGCGUAGAUAUAUGGAGGAACACCAGUGGCGAAGGCGGCUCUCUGGUCUGUAACUGACGCU
rnacentral:rRNA from 1 species